CCCUUUCGCAUUAUCAUCUACCGCCCUUUCUUUCCUCCCGUCCCUUCACGCAUGAAGAUCGUCGUAUGUAUGUUCGACUUUGGUUGCCGGUGCAAUAGAAUUGGCGGGAGUAUAUUAUGGAGGAUCAGUCACCUAGGCAAACCAAAACUCCUCCAAGAAGAAUUGUGCUAUGCCCCCCCCGAUAUCCCUAUAGAGCGAAAGAGCUGCCUAGUGAUCCCUAGGUUGUAGCACGUCCGGUCGUUAACUCCUCGCUAG
rnacentral:rRNA from 1 species